GGCGGGCCUCCGGUACGGCGUGAGGCCGCGGAAAGCGGAAAGAUUGAACCGGUACGUUGAGAAAGAGGCAAGUUUGGCGCCGUUGCGUUGCUAAGGGAGACUAGAAGUCGAAAUGAGCAGAAAGUGAGUCCAGCAAACCUAGACGUUAAGCAAGGGCGGGAGAGGAGGAUUAGCUGCGGUUUGAAAAACCGAUUGUAUAUUCAUUUGCAACAUCUGGGAAAGUAAAAGAGUGCCUAGCUAUUCGUAAGGAUAGAGUGUCAAAGGCAAAUUGUAACGGUAACGGGAAACUGUUUAAGAACAGACUGCAACUGAAAGAAUGUUGGCAGGAGGCAAGAAGAAGACAGUGGCUGCUUUGGGUCCUUUCUGGCUCUGAAAUGAAUUCUAAUAGAUUUGGAUGCAUCGUCAUCAUCUAGUCUUCUGUUCCUGCUGUACUGAGGAUAAUACAAGAAGAUUCUAAAACAAGUAGGUUUGUUAUUUUAAGCAAGCUUUUUUCCAAGUAUCCUCAAUACCUUCCCUGCCAGAUGUAGAGUGUUAUAAAGAAUCGGUGGUUAAUAUGGAGUUGAAACUGCCAUUAUCUUACUGAUGUCUAAAGCUAGAAAAUAUUUUGUGGACUUUCUGUGAGAUAUUAAUUUUCUGUAAACAUUCAGUCGAGCCACUGUAUUCAGCCGGAUGCUUAAAGCUGUGAUACUUAUUAUGAAAUACUUGAGUACAGUAGUUCCCCAUUAUCCAUGGUGGGUUUGUUCCAAGACCCCCAGUGGAUGCCUGGAGCCCUAUACAUACUACGUGUUUUCCUACACAUACAUACAUACAUACAUACCUAUGAUGAAGUUUAAUUUGUCGAUUAGGCACAAGAAGAGAUUAACAAUAACUAACAAUAAAAUAGAAUAAUUGCAAUAAUAUACUGUAAAAGUGAAGUGAAUGUGGAGCCUCUCAGAGUGUCUGGCUGUGCUGCACCCAUCCUUCCCUUUGUGAUGAGGUGAGAUGGUACCAUGUGUGCGUGACGAGGUGAAGCGAGGUGAGCGAUGCAGGCGUUGUGACGCAGUGUUAGGCUACUAUUGGCCUUCUGACGAAACGUCAAAAGGAGGAUCAUUGAGCCAUGACUUAGGAAUUAUUUCUGGAAUUUUCCAUUUAAUAUUUGCAGACCACGGUUAACUAUAACUGAAACUGCAGAAAGUGAAACUGUGAAAAAGGGGUACUGCUGUAGUCUGUUCUGAGUGGUCUGGAAACUCACUCUCUUCCUCCCAGCAAUGAGAAAUGGGCACCUACCCGUGCUUCACAGUAAGGUCUGCUCCCAGUACCACUCUGUUUCCUCGCUGUGCCAGGUGACAUCUGCGGGCGCCUGCGCCCUUCUCCUAUGGAAAUGUCUGGGGGAUGCACCCAAAGUCACAGAAUUUUGGGUCCUCCCUCUUUGAGUGAGGAAGCUAUAGUGCUCCUGCUGCUUUUGGAAAGUGGUUGGAGAUAAUAAGGGUCAGGCAGAAAUCCAAACAACAGCCAGCCUCUCAACAAAGCACUGUGUAUGAUUAUUAGUGUUCAGUUCCCUUUGGG